rnacentral:rRNA from 1 species
AGCGAACGCUGGCGGCAGGCCUAAUACAUGCAAGUCGAGCGGUCCCUUCGGGGGCAGCGGCGGACGGGUGAGUAACGCGUGGGAACGUGCCCUUUGGUACGGAACAACUGAGGGAAACUUCAGCUAAUACCGUAUGUGCCCUUCGGGGGAAAGAUUUAUCGCCAUUGGAGCGGCCCGCGUUGGAUUAGGUAGUUGGUGAGGUAAAGGCCCACCAAGCCUACGAUCCAUAGCUGGUCUGAGAGGAUGAUCAGCCACACUGGGACUGAGACACGGCCCAGACUCCUACGGGAGGCAGCAGUAGGGAAUCUUGCGCAAUGGGCGAGAGCCUGACGCAGCCAUGCCGCGUGAAUGAUGAAGGUCUUAGGAUUGUAAAAUUAUUUCACCGGGGACGAUAAUGAC